rnacentral:rRNA from 1 species
UCAUUACAACAGCUAACAAAUCUACUUGAUCUUGACACAAUCCUACUUGGAUAACUGUGGUAAUUCUAGAGCUAAUACAUGCAUUAAAGCUCCGACCUCACGGGAAGAGUGCAUUUAUUAGAACAAAACCAAGCGGCCUCGGCUGUUUUCGGUUGACUCAUAGUAACUGAGCUGAUCGCAUGGGCUUGUCCCGGCGACGUGUCUUUCAAGUGUCUGCCGUAUCAACUUUCGAUGGUAGUGUAUCUGACUACCAUGGUGAUCACGCGUAACGGAGAAUAAGGGUUCGACUCCGGAGAGUUCGCCUGAGAAAUCGCGAACACAUCUAAGGAAGGCAGCAGGCGCGAAAAUUACCCACUCUCAGCACGAGGAGGUAGUGACGAAAAAUAACGAGACCGUUCUCUUAUGAGGCCGGUCAUCGGAAUGGGUACAAUUUAAACCCUUUAACGAGUAUCUAUGAGAGGGCAAGUCUGGUGCCAGCAGCCGCGGUAAUUCCAGCU